CAGUAGCCACGGUAAUACGUAGGUGGCAAGCGUUGUCCGGAAUUAUUGGGCGUAAAGCGCGCGCAGGCGGAUCAGUUAGUCUGUCUUAAAAGUUCGGGGCUUAACCCCGUGAUGGGAUGGAAACUGCUGAUCUAGAGUAUCGGAGAGGAAAGUGGAAUUCCUAGUGUAGCGGUGAAAUGCGUAGAUAUUAGGAAGAACACCAGUGGCGAAGGCGACUUUCUGGACGAAAACUGACGCUGAGGCGCGAAAGCCAGGGGAGCGAACGGGAUUAGAUACCCGCGUAGUCCCUGUCUCUUAUACA
rnacentral:rRNA from 1 species